GCGCACUGUGCUGCUCCGCCGCCAAAGCUCGCGCGGGGGAAGCGGGGCUGUAGCUGGGCAGGGAGAGGGCGGACGAAAUCGGUAGCGAUCUCGGCUGCGGCGCUGCCGCAGCUGCCCGGCCCGCGGGGCGCGCCCUGACCCUUCAUCUUUGGGCAGGCUCGAGGGCGCGCGCACGGUUGGCGUUCUGGGGCCUCAAACUCCUGGGCCUUGACCGGGCAGGCCGCGUCUCCCCGGGUGUGAGUCCACCGGGACCCGGCCGCCGCCUAAGCGCGGGCGCCACAGAAGCGGCGGCGCCCGAAGACGCGCUCCUGGCUCGGCCCGACAGCCUCGCUUGGCCGCCAGUUCUUCUGCAGCCGAAGGCGGUUGUUCUUUUAAAGAAUUAUUGAAGACGAAGGUUUUUUUCUUUUUAUUUUUUUAAUGGCUUUACAGAAUCUUAAAUAGAAUACAGUUUGACAUGACGGCAAAAAAUGUUGGUUUGACUUCCACAAAUGCAGAAGUAAGAGGAUUUAUAGAUCAGAAUCUCAGUCCAACAAAAGGUAAGGAUUAUUGAAUAAAAUUUUUCUGAA
rnacentral:lncRNA from 1 species